rfam:Sinorhizobium saheli strain LMG 7837 C815, whole genome shotgun sequence.
UGCAUGGGGCGAGCGAAUGCCUCACGAGGCGUCAGGCCGGAAUUUCGCGUCCGAUAGCAACCUAAAGGACGUCGUAUCAUG